rnacentral:rRNA from 1 species
UACCAGCACCCCCGAGUGGUCGGGACGAUUAUUGGGCCUAAAGCAUCCGUAGCCGGCCUUACAAGUCCUCCGUUAAAUCCAGCUGCUUAACAGAUGGGCUGCGGAGGAUACUAUAAGACUAGGAGGCAGGAGAGGCAAGCGGUACUCAGUGGGUAGGGGUAAAAUCCGUUGAUCCAUUGAAGACCACCAGUGGCGAAGGCGGCUUGCCAGAAUGCGCUCGACGGUGAGGGAUGAAAGCUGGGGGAGCAAACCGG